rnacentral:rRNA from 1 species
CCUACGUGAGGCAGCAGUGAGGAAUAUUGGUCAAUGGGCGCGAGCCUGAACCAGCCAAGUAGCGUGAAGGAUGACUGCCCUACGGGUUGUAAACUUCUUUUAUAAAGGACUAAAGUGAGGCACGUGUGCCUUUUUGUCUGUACUUUAUGAAUAAGGAUCGGCUAACUCCGUGCCAGCAGCCGCGGUAAUACGGAGGAUCCGAGCGUUAUCCGGAUUUAUUGGGUUUAAAGGGAGCGUAGAUGGGUUGUUAAGUCAGUUGUGAAAGUUUGCGGCUCAACCGUAAAAUUGCAAUUGAUACUGGCAGCCUGGAGGACAGAUGAGGUAGGAGGAAUUCGUGGUGUAGCGGUGAAAUGCUUAGAUAUCACGAAGAACUCCGAUUGCGAAGGCAGCUUACGAAACUGCCACUGACAUUGAUGCUCGAAAGUGUGGGUAUCAAACAGGAUUAGAUACCCCAGUAGUC